GAACGAACGCUGGCGGCGUGCCUAACACAUGCAAGUCGAACGAGAAAGGGGCUUCGGCCCUGGAGUAAACGUGGCGCACGGGUGAGUAACGACGUAGGUAACCUGCCUUUAAGAUUGGAUAACCUGUCGAAGACGAGCUAAUACCGAUAAGACCACGGUGUCUUCGGAGACUGAGGUCAAAGGUAGCCUCGUAUUUAUAAGCUAUCACUUAAAGAUGGGCCUGCGUACCAUUAGCUAGUUGGNGAGGUAACGCUCACCAAGGCAAAGAUGGUUAGCUGGUCUGAGAGGAUGAUCAGCCA
rnacentral:rRNA from 1 species